GAGGCCACCUGUGCGGACCCCUGCUACCAAACCGUUGCAAUGUAAAUUCAAUGCAUCUGCAGAGUGCAGGCUAGAGUUUGCUUUCCCUUGGAAGGGCAUCCAGUACACCUGCAAUGGACAAUGCCAGGGGUGCAAACACAGCCCUGCCAUUUGCCAUGGAGUAAUGCAGAUUACUGUGGAACAAGGGCAAGCUCCUGAGCACCUGCAGUGCAUUGAUGGCUUCCUCACAUGGGACAGCAAAGCAGAGGAAGUCUUUGAGAAAGGGAAGAAAAUCAUCCAAAUUCUCCUGAAAGCUGGUUUUUCCACUGGCCUGAGUAAGGUCAAGGGACCUGCCCAGGGAAUGUUGAACGUGGGAGUAAAAUGGCAGGAUGCCACAUCCCAAUGAAAAAGGUCAAUGAGGUAACAACUGUGUGCCCACCAGCUAAAAACCAGCAAAACAAGUUGUCAUAUUCUGGACAAGUGGGGUUGUAAGCAAUAAAUAACCCUUGGAAGAGAUGAAAGUGGGUGUCCAAAAGGGUGUGGUGGAGGCUCUUAGUCCUGUGCAUACAGGCCCAGCUGUGCCGCUAGUGCUUCACACUGCAGGUGGGGAAAAUGGCCUGGCCAGGAGCCUUCGGCAGGAAAGAGCAGGAGAAAGUUGAGGUCAUCCUCCGGCCUUCUGGAGCCAGGCUAUUAAGGAUCAGAAGCCCACGAUGCUCCAAGUGUAAACAGAAGAGUGCCAGGGAGUCAUGCCCAAAGGAAAAUGGUGGGCCAUGGGCCCAGAAACAAAGCAUUCCUUGGGUCUAGCACAUCCCAGGUCACGCAACAACCUCUGGAAAGAUUGAGCCCUACCAUGGAGUGUUAAAGGCUGGAAUGAGGACAUUGGGUGCAGAGGCAUGGGAGCACUUGGCUGGACAUUUUUGAGAAGCCACUUGGCCGCUUAACAGAAGAGCAUCUGGCAAGUGGCCUGGUGCUACCCAAAGAAAGGCCCUACCUCCUGUGGGAUGAAAGUCCCUGCAGUGCCCAUUAAUGGUGGGCAAUGAACUGCAUUAAUCUGCCUUAUGCAGAGUCUCUUUUGCCUGUUCUGGUCACUGGUGAGUGAUCUCCCUGCCCUUAUCUCAGUGCACAAGUCUUCUUCAACUAGAGUUUCUCGCCUAUUCCUUUGAGGAAGGGAAUUGAGAGAGCAGCGUGGGAGAGCUCAGGUGCCUUCAGGGUGAAGCCUCUGCCUUUCCUGGUUGUUGUGUGGUCGCAUGGGGGUCAAAGUGUGGGUGCAGAUGGCUCCCACAGUGCUGCACUGGCAGCAGUAUGGCAACAGCUGAGACUCCCUGAGAGUUCUUCAUAAGCUGAUUCACCAACAGGAUGAAGGAGAAAUCUGCCCACAGCCUUGGCAACUUCCCCAGAGCACUGAAGUCACUUUGGCCUUUGUGCCGUCAUCAUUUGUGCAGACAUUGAAGAAAAGCAGAGUGAUAUGGUCAGAAGAGAGCAAAGCCAAGUGGGGACAAGAGGCAGGAGGGCUUUGCAGGAAGGAUGCUGCCCUUGAGAUACUUGUUAAAACUGUGGUGUGUGAGAGGACAGAAAUAACAGUUGGGGCUCAACAAAAGCAGCGGACGUAGCAGGUUUUAGGCAAGGCCCCCAGUGAUGAGAGAGAUGCUUAGUGUGGGCCAGGCUCACGUGGACAAAGAAUGCCCACACAAAAGGUCCCAGCUGCACCGCAAGCUUCUGUCCCACUGUCCCCAGCUCAGAGUGAAGCAGAAACUCGAAGCAGACGGUGCUCCCCAAAAGCAGUGCCCCAAAAGAUGCUGGGGCAGGCGCCAUGGGCAAGGCUGUCUCCUUCUGUCCCUGCCGUCCUGCUGCUGGCACUCUGUGGCAGCAUGACCUCCCAGGACAUCUGCAGCUCCUCAGGGGAUCUCCUGGCUCCUGCUCUCCAAAUGA